rnacentral:rRNA from 1 species
AUUGAACGCUGGCGGCAGGCCUAACACAUGCAAGUCGAGCGGAUGAAGGGAGCUUGCUCCUGGAUUCAGCGGCGGACGGGUGAGUAAUGCCUAGGAAUCUGCCUGGUAGUGGGGGAUAACGUCCGGAAACGGGCGCUAAUACCGCAUACGUCCUGAGGGAGAAAGUGGGGGAUCUUCGGACCUCACGCUAUCAGAUGAGCCUAGGUCGGAUUAACUAGUUGGUGGGGUAAAGGCCUACCAAGGCGACGAUCCGUAACUGGUCUGAGAGGAUGAUCAGUCACCCUGGAACUGAGACACGGUCCAGACUCCUACGGGAGGCAGCAGUGGGGAAUAUUGGACAAUGGGCGAAAGCCUGAUCCAGCCAUGCCGCGUGUGUGAAGAAGGUCUUCGGAUUGUAAAGCACUUUAAGUUGGGAGGAAGGGCAGUAAGUUAAUACCUUGCUGUUUUGACGGUACCAACAGAAUAAGCACCGGCUAACUUCGUG